UUUUGACCUCAAAUCAGGUAAGAGCACCCGCUGAACUUAAGCAUAUCAAUAAGCGGAGGA
rnacentral:rRNA from 1 species